rnacentral:lncRNA from 1 species
CCAAAGAUUGAGUUCAAUAUGUUCAAUAGGUGCAGAGAGCUUCUGGUUCAUGAACACGUUGAAAAUUCGGAGAGUGGCAUGCCCAGAGGGAGCCUGGGAGUUCCAUGUCCCUUCACCACAUCUCUUGCUGUCCCUGUUCCCAUUGGACGUUCCACUCCACGAUGUCAAGGCAGGUGACCAGGUUCUCCUUAAGUCUUGGAGGGAGCGUGGACCAGAGGGUCAACUAACCCCCACGUGGACGGGGUCUUAUGAAGUCCUCCCAACUGCCCAUCCAUCAGUCAAACUGGCCAGAGUCAAGCUGUGGACUCAUCACACCUGGCAGGCGCUCAGUCUGUGCGGCCUGAGAGACGGAGCACGAGAACAACGCCCACAAGCGGGGCCUGAAGUGAGCCCGCAGUGUGGACAGAGACGGGGCACCGGGACGACGACGCCCGUGCGCUGGGGCCGAAGUGAGCCCGCAG